AGUGCUGGAAUAAAGACCAACAAACGAAUUUUCCGCAUCAUUUUAUCUUAGUUUUGCGCCCUCACCUCGCUCGGUCCGUGUCAGUUCACAAACGGAAGGGUGCUUGAGAGUGAUCUUCGUUUCGUACUUCUCCCCUCAGGGAAUCUACCACCGCACAGUCGAGAGAUGUCCCUUGGAGCUAUUCGUUCCAUCCGAUGCACAGCUUGCAUGGAAACCUUGGAGCGACGCCGGUGGAGGAAAUUGUCGAUGCUGCGAUGGAAAAUUGGAGCACCUUCCGACCCGGUCCAGAUGGAAUGCCUUUAUUCGAAGUCACAUAGCAACGCACUAAGGGGUAUUUGUAGAGUUUAGCUGGCCAAAAGUAUUUCGAGACAUUUUCGCAUUCUAUGUGUUCACUUAAGAGUGAAACAUGUUUUGAAUGAUAUUUUCAUGAAUUUAACAAACUAAAUACGAAACAAAAACAAAAUAAACUAGGAAUUUUA